UCCGUAGGAGAGCAAGGGAAGGAU
rnacentral:rRNA from 1 species